UUGGCACAGCUUCUGCACCUGACUUCUGAGGCACUUCCUACGCCAUUCAUCGAAAUUGUAGACAUGAUAGAAAUAAUAGACCCACAAUCUCGACAAACCCAGCUCUGGGCAUAAUCAGAACAAUUCAUUAAACGAUCCUGCAUCAAGAACGAUGUGCCAUGACCGAUAACAGCAUCACGUUCCAUUUCACCGAAACGAAUACCACCAGCACGUUUGCGACCUUUGACGGGUUGACGAGUAAGAUUAUGAAUGGGUCCGGUUGUACGUACUUGAAAUUUAUCACUAACCAUAUGGCGAAGACGUUGAUAGUAGACAACUCCAAUAUAAAUAUCAGCCUUCAUCUCCUGUCCUGUGAUACCACUAUACAUAGGCUCGUUUCCAUGAUAGUUGUAACCAGCCUUAACCAAUUGUUCGCCAAAGUAGUCAGCAGCAGUUUGCUGCUCAGAAUAGAUAAAGGGUGUGCUGUCUUGAGCCAAGCCAUGGCAGGCGCCAGCUUUACCAGCUAAACUUUCAAUAAACAUACCAAUUGUCAUACGAGAGGGGAACGCAUGAGGAUUAAUAAUGAUAUCAGGUUGCAUUCCGCUUUCUGUAAACGGCAUAUCGACAGUGGGCCACUUUUGUGAACAAAUACCCUUUUGUCCAUGUCUAGAGGAAAAUUUGUCACCAAUAAUCGGACUACGGGUAAUACGAAGCUUAACAUGAAUUUGCUGACACUCGGAAUCACCAACAUCAUUACCAAGGAGUCU